ACACACCUGAUAACAGAAUACAGGUAAGAGACAGGAAUACCACCAUCACACAUCCUAGAGACACACCUGAUAACAGAAUACAGGUAAGAGACUAAGUCAUCAUGUGUUUGACCCUUUAUGUUUCUCUGAAUUAAAGAAUGUUUCUGUCUCUUCUUGUUCAAUGCAAGAACUCAACUAAUAGAAACAGAAAAUGCUGAGUCAUGCUGCUAACCACCAACUCAUGUUUUAAAUAG